UUUUCUCACCGACCUCUAAAAAAAAAUCUUACUGACAAGCCACUCCGUCACUCCACUCCCCUCACUCUGCUCACCCCAUUCUCAUCCGCUUCCAUGGCCUCGCCCAGCCGCCACGGAGGCUGCUUCAAUCUCUCAUGACGCCUCGCUCCACAUGCCCUUCCUUCCUUCCCUCCUCACUUCUCACCUUCACCGGUGCCGGUGGAUCUCACCACGCACGUUCCCGGCUGUGCCAGAGUGGACACUUUAGCACUCGCUCCGCGGCUAUAUUGAGGAGAUCAAAUUGAUGUAUCGAGGGGGCAGGAGGUGGAGGACGGCACGCGGUGGCGGGGAUGGAUGGGCCGGCGAUUGUGACGCUGCUGGGGAUCCGGCGCCAACAGGCCGCGUCGCGGCUCGACGUUCCUGAUGGCUGCCCACGGCACACAGGUCGCCACGCCCCCGUCGGGCUCCUAGACUGCCACAACGUCGGAAUGGCCCCGCCUCCGUCAGCAACUGCUGUAAUUUGGACAGGAGCAAGUGCGCGGUGAGAUGCACAGGGAUGCCUGCAUCGGCAUGGCUAGCAGGAGGCCAUGCUCAGGAGGGACCAGAGGUCUGCGCCACGACGCUGGUAGAAUCUUCACCAAGGAUUUCGGAGGCGAUGCAGCAGUGGUGAAGGCGAUGGUUGUGCCGGGUGCAGGCAGGUGCAGACGGGUACAUUCCUUGACAGUCAAUUUCUUUCGUCCCAUCCGACUAUCAUGCAGUCCGUCAGGCUGGGAGUGAUGUACUUUCCUUUUCUUUUUUCUCCUUUUUCUGUUUAAAAUGCCCCUUUUUCUGUUGAUGAGGUCCUGUUACGGUCAGAUGUCGCGGUCUCUGAUAGUUCAUGUGGAACAAUCUUUACUGAAAUGAGUAGAAAGACAAUUAAAACCA